rnacentral:rRNA from 1 species
UCGAGAAUUUUUCACAAUGGGCGAAAGCCUGAUGGAGCGACGCCGCGUGGGGGAUGAAUGGCUUCGGCCCGUAAACCCCUGUCAUUCGCGAGCAAACGUUAUUAUUUAAAAGAUGAUAGCCUGAUAGUAGCGAAAGAGGAAGGGACGGCUAACUCUGUGCCAGCAGCCGCGGUAAUACAGAGGCCCCAAGCGUUGUUCGGAUUUACUGGGCGUAAAGGGUGCGUAGGUGGUGGGGUAAGUCGGAUGUGAAAUCUCCGAGCUCAACUCGGAAAGUGCAUUGGGAACUGCCCUGCUCGAGGGUUGGAGGGGGGACUGGAAUACUUGGUGUAGCAGUGAAAUGCGUAGAUAUCAAGUGGAACACCAGUGGCGAAGGCGAGUCCCUGGACAACUCCUGACACUGAGGCACGAAAGCUAGGGGAGCAAACAG